rnacentral:rRNA from 1 species
GACGAACGCUGGCGGCGUGCUUAACACAUGCAAGUCGAACGGAAAGGCCCUGCUUUUGUGGGGUGCUCGAGUGGCGAACGGGUGAGUAACACGUGAGUAACCUGCCCUUGACUUUGGGAUAACUUCAGGAAACUGGGGCUAAUACCGGAUAGGAGCUCCUGCUGCAUGGUGGGGGUUGGAAAGUUUCGGCGGUUGGGGAUGGACUCGCGGCUUAUCAGCUUGUUGGUGGGGUAGUGGCUUACCAAGGCUUUGACGGGUAGCCGGCCUGAGAGGGUGACCGGCCACAUUGGGACUGAGAUACGGCCCAGACUCCUACGGGAGGCAGCAGUGGGGAAUAUUGCACAAUGGGCGGAAGCCUGAUGCAGCAACGCCGCGUGCGGGAUGACGGCCUUCGGGUUGUAAACCGCUUUCGCCUGUGACGAAGCGUGAGUGACGGUAAUGGGUAAAGAAGCACCGGCUAACUACGUGCCAGCAGCCGCGGUGAUACGUAGGGUGCGAGCGUUGUCCGGAUUUAUUGGGCGUAAAGGGCUCGUAGGUGGUUGAUCGCGUCGGAAGUGUAAUCUUGGGGCUUAACCCUGAGCGUGCUUUCGAUACGGGUUGACUUGAGGAAGGUAGGGGAGAGUGGAAUUCCUGGUGGAGCGGUGGAAUGCGCAGAUAUCAGGAGGAACACCAGUGGCGAAGGCGGUUCUCUGGGCCUUUCCUGACGCUGAGGAGCGAAAGCGUGGGGAGCGAACAGGCUUAGAUACCCUGGUAGUCCACGCUGUAAACGGUGGGUACUAGGUGUGGGGUCCAUUCCACGGGUUCCGUGCCGUAGCUAACGCUUUAAGUACCCCGCCUGGGGAGUACGGCCGCAAGGCUAAAACUCAAAGGAAUUGACGGGGCCCCGCACAAGCGGCGGAGCAUGCGGAUUAAUUCGAUGCAACGCGUAGAACCUUACCUGGGUUUGACAUGGAUCGGGAGUGCUCAGAGAUGGGUGUGCCUCUUUUGGGGUCGGUUCACAGGUGGUGCAUGGCUGUCGUCAGCUCGUGUCGUGAGAUGUUGGGUUAAGUCCCGCAACGAGCGCAACCCUUGUUCACUGUUGCCAGCACGUUAUGGUGGGGACUCAGUGGAGACCGCCGGGGUCAACUCGGAGGAAGGUGGGGAUGACGUCAAGUCAUCAUGCCCCUUAUGUCCAGGGCUUCACGCAUGCUACAAUGGCUGGUACAGAGAGUGGCGAGCCUGUGAGGGUGAGCGAAUCUCGGAAAGCCGGUCUCAGUUCGGAUUGGGGUCUGCAACUCGACCUCAUGAAGUCGGAGUCGCUAGUAAUCGCAGAUCAGCAACGCUGCGGUGAAUACGUUCCCGGG